ensembl:snoRNA
CUGAGCUGAGGAUGAUUUAAAGUUAUCCCUGUCUGAAGUGACAUCUUUUGUGAGGAGAUAUGACUUGCUGAGGCUCAG